rnacentral:rRNA from 1 species
AUGAACGCUAGCGACAGGCCUAACACAUGCAAGUCGAGGGGCAGCACAAGGAGCAAUCUGAGGUGGCGACCGGCGCACGGGUGAGUAACACGUAUGCAACCUGCCUGUAAGCGGGGAAUAACCCGUUGAAAGACGGACUAAUACCGCAUAAUACUAAAUUACUGCAUGGUAAUUUAUUUAAACAUUUAUGGCUUACAGAUGGGCAUGCGCAUGAUUAGCUAGUUGGAGAGGUAACGGCUCCCCAAGGCAACGAUCAUUAGGGGUUCUGAGAGGAAGGUCCCCCACACUGGUGCUGAGACACGGACCAGACUCCUACGGGAGGCAGCAGUGAGGAAUAUUGGUCAAUGGACGAGAGUCUGAACCAGCCAAGUCGCGUGCAGGAAGAAUGUCCCUAUGGAUUGUAAACUGCUUUUGCAGGGGAAUAAAGUGCAUCACGUGUGAUGUUUUGUAUGUACUCUGCGAAUAAGGAUCGGCUAACUCCGUGCCAGCCGCGGC